GGUAUGAGAGUUCAUCAUAUUAAUAUGGUACGUGAGUUGGGU
rnacentral:rRNA from 1 species